UACAAAGUAAAGAUAAGAGUAAAAAAGAGUAAUGUAUACAAGUAACGUUUAUAAAAUGACAUCAGUAAAAUAACUUGAUAAAAAAAAGUACAUAUAAUGGUGUUAUAAUAAGCGUAUGAAAACGUUUAUAAAUAAAAAUUUCUUAAAAAAUCAUCUAUAGCCUGCGGACUGCUGCACAUUGGCAUAAAAUGUGCUGAGGUUUACAAAAUGAAAUACAUAAAACCGAGACAAACUAUCCUUUCUAGUUUAAUUGUAUUUCAUUUGUUUAAUCGACACCUAGAGUCCUCUCAUUUUCAAUAUCAUGAUCAUCAUCAUGUGUUAUUUGUGUGACACUUGUGGAAAGAAGUUCAAUUUUUUGAAAUCAUUGAUACGUCAUGAGUUUGUGUUUGAAGAAAUUUUCGAGAAAAGAUAAUUUCUCGAGGUAUGAUCAGCAUACACACGGCUUGAUAGAUUAGUAUUGUAAUAUUUUAAUCUCUAUAAAGUAUUUUUGUUAUUAAAAAAUGUAAUUGAUAGGAACUGAUAAAGUAUUGAAAAUGCGUUCUGUAAAUAUUAAAAUUAACAAUUAUGGAUUGUAUUAUUACUACUAUUAUUAUUAUAUCAUUGCUCGAAGCUGCAAAUAAGAUGGAUCCAAAUUCGAUGGAUGUUCAAGACAACAAUGAUGAGUACAUGUUUGAAGUUGUGAAAAUUAUGGAUACAAAUUUGAUUGACGUUCAAAUGGUGAUUAUGUUACCCUGGUGAUUCCAAAAGUUGUUAGUAUAAAACAAUAAAAAUAAAAAAUACCAGUAAAUGUUAUAGUCAUAUAAUAUUUUUUUGGGAUUGAACGAUUUUCAAAAGAUAUAGAGUUUGAGGAUAUUAGUCAAAAUAACAAAACGAUCGGAAUGGAGAUAGAACACACGCAACAAUCUAAUCAUUAAAAACAAAUAGUGAUUGUGCAAAGAUUUUGCGUACAAAAAAAAGUCCAAUCGAUUUUUUUUGGGAACAUCAAUGUACAUAGAAAAGAAAACAGCAAUACCUGCUCCAUAAAUGAAUUUAUCAAACAAAACAGUAACAGCAUUAAUGAAAUAUUUGAAAAUGCUAUCAGAACACAUGCAGCUGUGAAGACAUUUUUAGAUCUAGUUACAACGUAUGAAAAACUAAUUUUUAACAAUAAUAAUGUUAACACACCCGUUAUUACUCAAACCCUUAGUAUUUCCCCAUUUAUUUAAUACCGUCGAGUAGUAUCCCAUAGUGGUUACCACUAAUACACGUCUACUACAGAAAAAGUCAGAAGAGAUAGAAACUCAAGACAAUGGAAAUGUUCCUGAUAUGACGCCAAAAGACAUGUAUGAACAUAUGAAUGGCUAUUAGUGGAUGAUUUUUGGCAGCAAAGGACCGAGUGGAGAGAAAAAGGAAUUAAAUGAAUAAAUUAUAAUUCAUUUUUUUGUUUAAAUUAAUUUAAUUUAUGAUCAAUAGUUUAAUAAUAUAACUUUAAUUCAGUUUAGAUAAAAGUAUCAUAUACUCAUAAUAUGUAUAAUUUAAAUAUAUAUGAUUUAGAUUUUAUAUUUGUAUCGAAAUAUCUUAGGUAAAAUUAGAUUUUAUAUAACAGUAGGGUACUCUGUUUGUGUCCACAAUUAUGGUCUAAGAUUACUAACACUUUUAUUUAUAAAAAUAUUUAAUAUACGCAUACUGUUGCUUAAUAGUUAUAUUACACACGAUUCAGACAUGAGUCAAUUAUUAGAGUAAUCUUAAAAAAUCACUCUUUAAGAAAUUUAUAAAUUAUAAUUGUCAGCAAUCUUAAUAAUAAAAACAAUGUGUCAACCCUAAUCUUAAAUGUAAAAACAAACUAUAUUAACGUUUAUAAAUUAUCAAAAUGAUUUGUAUGUUACUCGCAUGUAUUAAUUUAUAUAUUUCAUGUUACUUUAUAUAUUUAUGUUAUUCGAUGUGUUAAUCUCUAUAUUUUAUGAUUACUUAUCAUUAAAAUAAUAACAUUGCAAGAAUGAGACAAUGGUGAUUUUUGGGGAUAUAAAAUAUUAUAAGAGGCAGAGCAAUCCUCGAUAGUCCUUCUGUUCUAAUCGCACUCUCGACUGUUCCGAUCGCGCUCUCGACAUCGAUACGUUAAGUUUGUGAUCAUCAUUGUCAAAAUUCUUACGUGUUAAUUUAUGAAUAAAAACUAGAAUUUGUGUUAUUUUUUUUAUUAUUUCAUACUAUUAAAAGUUGUUAUAAGAACAAAGAAUAAU